rnacentral:rRNA from 1 species
UCGCCAUUUAAAGUGGUACGCGAGCUGGGUUCAGAACGUCGUGAGACAGUUCGGUCCCUAUCUGCCGUGGGCGUUGGAUGAUUGAAGGGAGUUGCUCCUAGUACGAGAGGACCGGAGUGAACGAACCUCUGGUGUUCGGGUUGUCACGCCAGUGGCACUGCCCGGUAGCUAAGUUCGGAAUCGAUAACCGCUGAAAGCAUCUAAGCGGGAAGCGAGCCCUGAGAUGAGUCAUCCCUGACCCCUUGAGGGUCCUAAAGGGCCGUUGGAGACCACAACGUUGAUAGGUGGGGUGUGUAAGUGCAGUGAUGUGUUGAGCUAACCCAUACUAAUUACCCGUGAGGCUUAACCAUACAACACCCAAGAAGUGUUCUG